rnacentral:rRNA from 1 species
AGAGUUUGAUCAUGGCUCAGAUUGAACGCUGGCGGCAUGCCUAACACAUGCAAGUCGAACGGCAGCACGGCAGUAGCAAUACUGUGGGUGGCGAGUGGCGGACGGGUGAGGAAUACGUCGGAAUCUGCCCAGUCGUGGGGGAUAACGUAGCGAAAGCUACGCUAAUACCGCAUACGACCUGAGGGUGAAAGCGGGGGAUCGCAAGACCUCGCGCGAUUGGAGCGGCCGAUGGCAGAUUAGGUAGUUGGUGGGGUAAAGGCCUACCAAGCCUGCGAUCUGUAGCUGGUCUGAGAGGACGACCAGCCACACUGGGACUGAGACACGGCCCAGACUCCUACGGGAGGCAGCAGUGGGGAAUUUUGGACAAUGGGCGAAAGCCUGAUCCAGCCAUACCGCGUGCGGGAAGAAGGCCUUCGGGUUGUAAACCGCUUUUGUCAGGGAAGAAAUCUUCUGGGCUAAUACCUCGGGAGGAUGACGGUACCUGAAGAAUAAGCACCGGCUAACUACGUGCCAGCAGCCGCGGUAAUACGUAGGGCGCAAGCGUUAAUCGGAAUUACUGGGCGUAAAGCGUGCGCAGGCGGUUCCAUAAGACAGAUGUGAAAUCCCCGGGCUCAACCUGGGAACUGCAUUUGUGACUGUGGAGCUAGAGUACGGUAGAGGGGGAUGGAAUUCCGCGUGUAGCAGUGAAAUGCGUAGAUAUGCGGAGGAACACCAAUGGCGAAGGCAAUCCCCUGGACCUGUACUGACGCUCAUGCACGAAAGCGUGGGGAGCAAACAGGAUUAGAUACCCCGGUAGU